rnacentral:sRNA from 1 species
CCCCCGCGUCGCCCAUUCGCUGGCGACACGGGGGGCAAAAACCCUAGUAGCGCCGCCGCCUUCCCUCUCCCUCCUCCCCCACCUAGCCGCCACCGGAGCUCACCGCCGGAAAGCCGGCGGGCGAGCCAUGAUGGCGGCCGCGGGGCUCCCUCGUGGUGGCGACCCCUCUCAGGCGCGGGAGAGGCGGCGAAAGGUGGAGGUUGGGGAGUGACGGCGGCGGCCCAUCCCGGCGAGGAGACGGCGGAUCCGGCGCCGCCUUCGCCGGAUCUGGCCAUCCCCUGGAUGGAUCCGGCCGGGGUUGGUGUGUUGGCGGCGGAGGAGGCCGCGGCGCGGCGGUGCGACAAGAGCGGCGACGCUGGCGCGAUGAGGCGACGGUGAUGGCGACGGCGCGACGUUGGCAGCGGAGGCGGCGGCGACGAUGCGCCGACAACGAUGCUUGCACACCUGCUGGCGGCGGCCACGGCGGCGAGGCGAGAUGCGCGCGGGCGGCGGAGCUCGCACAGCCGGGCCUGGCGGCAGCGGGGUGUUGGU